rnacentral:misc_RNA from 1 species
GAAGUGCGAUAAGUAAUGUGAAUUGCAGAAUUCCGUGAAUCAUCGAAUCUUUGAACGCACAUUGCGCCCUCUGGCAUUCCGGGGGGGCAUGCCUGUCCGAGCGUCAUUACGCACCCUCAAGCCCGGCUUGUGUGAUGGGCCCUGGCGUCUCGUUCGCGAGACGGGCCCGAAAGGCAGCGGCGGCGUCGACCCGAUGAGCCCGAGCGUAUGGGGACUUUUGUCACACGUUUGCGGUGCGGACCGGCGCCUGCUUGACUUUUCUGAUUAUCCAGGUUGACCUCGGAUCAGGUAGGGAUACCCGCUGAACUUAAGC